rnacentral:rRNA from 1 species
UACAAAGGGGGCUAGCGUUGCUCGGAAUGACUGGGCGUAAAGGGCGCGUAGGCGGCUUACAUAGUUAGGCGUGAAAUUCCUGGGCUCAACCUGGGGACUGCGUCUAAUACAUGUAGGCUUGAGUGUGAAAGAGGGUUGUGGAAUUUCCAGUGUAGAGGUGAAAUUCGUAGAUAUUGGAAAGAACACCGGUGGCGAGGGCGGCGACCUGGUUCAUUACUGACGCUGAGGCGCGAAAGCGUGGGGAGCAAACAGG